rnacentral:rRNA from 1 species
GUGGGGAAUCUUCCGCAAUGGACGAAAGUCUGACGGAGCAACGCCGCGUGAGUGAAGAAGGUUUUCGGAUCGUAAAGCUCUUUCGUUAGGGACGAACGUGCUCUUUGUGAAUAAUGAGGAGUAAUGACGGUACCUAAAUAAGAAGCCACGGCUAACUACGUGCCAGCAGCCGCGGUAAUACGUAGGUGGCAAGCGUUGUCCGGAAUUAUGGGGCGUAAAGCGCGCGCAGGCGGGAUAUCAAGUCUGUCUUAAAAGUGCGAGGCUCAACCACGUGAUGAGACAGAAACUGGUAUUCUUGAGUGUCGGAGAGGAAAGUGGAAUUCCAAGUGUAGCGGUGAAAUGCGUAGAGAUUUGGAAGAACACCAGUGGCGAAGGCGACUUUCUGGACGAUGUCUGACGCUGAGGCUCGAAAGCUAGGGGAGCGAACGGGAUUAGAUACCCCAGUAGUCC